GUGUGUAUGUGCCUGGCUCCCUGUAUGCCAUUUGUAGAGCUCAUCAGAAUCCGAUGGGCCUCCGCAGAUGGCGUAUGAGGAGCCAUGCAUAUAUCUUAA
rnacentral:pre_miRNA from 1 species